GUCUACAGUCAUGCCACCUGAACAAGCCUGAUGUCUGAUUUCGGAAGCUAAACAGGGUCGGGCCUGGUUAGAACUUGAAUGGGAGACCACCUAGGGAGACCAGGUGCUGUAGGCA
rnacentral:rRNA from 1 species